rnacentral:rRNA from 1 species
AACGAACGCUGGCGGUGUGCUUAACACAUGCAAGUCGAACGAGAAAGUUUCCUUUCGGGAAGCUAGUAAAGUGGCGCAAGGGUGAGUAACACGUGAAUAAUCUGCCCUCGAGAUCGGGAUAACCUGAGGAAACUUAGGCUAAUACCGGAUAAGCCCACAUUUUCAUAUUGAAAUGUGGGAAAAGGAGUCUCAAUCUUCACUCGAGGAUGAGUUCGCGGACCAUUAGCUUGUUGGUGAGAUAAAAGACUCACCAAGGCAACGAAUGGUUAGCCGGCCGUGAGAGGGCGAUCGGCCACACUGGAACUGAGACACGGUCCAGACUCCUACGGGAGGCAGCAGUGGGAAUAUUGCGCAAUGGGCGAAAGCCUGACGCAGCAACACCGUGUGAGCGAUG